rnacentral:lncRNA from 1 species
GGGAGUUUCUGGUUUUGCAUGAAGCAGCAGAACAUGAUGAAGCAUUUUUCCCCCAUCUAAAGAUCCAGUCGUGCUCCAGUUUGCAGAGGGCAAGGGGCUGGUUGCAGGUGGUGCUGGGAGGAUGGAGUAGAGAUGGGGUUUCACCGUGUUAACCAGGAAUGUCUCGAUCUCCUGACCUCGUGAUCCACCCGCCUCAGCCUCCCAAAGUGUUGGGAUUACAGGCGUGAGCUACCACGCCCGGCCCUAGGCUCCACAACUCUAAGAAGCUUUGGAAGGGGGCAGUGUAUACAGAUCCCUCACCUUGGAACUUCCGCAUCCUUGGGUUCAUCUGCAGAAUCUUCUUCAGCUUGGGCUCCAGUUCCUUGAUGUGGGAAGCCAGCCUCUCUAGCUGCCAACUGGGCCUGAUUUUGUUCUUCUGAGAGACCAUGGAACAGCAACAGCAAAGUAGAUCCUCCCCAUGGGGCUCCUUCUGCAGUGAAUUGAUGCACUUGAAGCAGACAGCGCAUCCACACUCCAGGGACAUUGGUUUCUCUAGAUAGUCUGAGCAGACGGGACAGCUGCUUGCUUCUUGGAAGAGUGCAGCCAUGUCCACUGCCAGGGGAAAAGUGCACAAGGGAAGAAAAUUUCCGUGAGGUGAAAGCCUGUUAGUUGUGACAAGUGACAACCUUUUCAUGCAUAAAGGUAUUGUGUCCCAGCUUUGUCACUUCUAGAACAAGACCAUGAGUACAAACACUCAAGCACAUCCCCCCACCCCCCGUCUUCAGAGAUUUGAAGUUCUAUUGGGAAAGAAAGUCACGAAUCAUCACUGUGCUCUGAACUGAGGUGGAGGAAGGGUCCAUUCUACUGGUGACCCAGCAACUGAGCCUGAGCCAGUGACACGGCAGCACCCAUGUGAGGAACAGCGAGCUGGGGUCAUUUCACCUCCUCCUAGGGGAACCCCAGCAAGAGAUUGAUUGAUGAACAUAAGAAUUAGGGGCUGGGAGGCCGGGCGUGGUGGCUCAGGCCUAUAAUCCCAGCACUUUGGGAGGCUGACGUGAGUGGAU